GCAGGUCGUCACCAAGUUCAAUUCCGUGCAUAGAGGCGACUCCGCCGAUUCGAAAUCGUAACGGCUGUCUUUGGCGUUUAGUACGUACAACAAUAACCACUGCCGGUAGGCGAACGCGUCGAAGCAUUUCGGCUUAUGGUAGAGCACCAAUCGUGAGAAAGCAAAUUCCUCCGACACCUCUAAUUUGUGGCUUCUCACUAACUCCCGUCGCAUAUUCCAAAACGUCGUGACAUCCGGAUUUAAUAGCAGAGCGCCCAGUAACCAUCUUGCUAUUGUGCUAGGCUCCUCGCGCCUGUGUUUGUUCUGACGAAGUUCAAAGAGUCGGCGAUAAGCGUAGCAACAAAGUGGUUGUACGCACCACGAGGCCAAUCCAAGAGAGUCCUCCUGAUGAAAUACUGGUAUAUUAGAUGUAUAUCUGUACAUGUGAAUUACAUAACAACACGUGAGACAUCUAGAAAAUGCUGUAAAAGUAAUGAUAAUUUAGAGGUAUGCAUAACUAUUGUGUUUCCCCGAAUGUUUUUAAUGUCCGUAACUCCAAUUUAAUAUUUCACUAGUGACAGUUAAUAGUACAGUGUAUUGACAAUAGAUCACAACUUGCAAGAUUUGCAUAGAACUGUAUAUAUACGAAAGAACAUGCAUUGAUAAUACUUCUAACAUUUAAUAAUCGUGAUGGCGCCAUAGUUUCAUAUUGUAGAUAUCAGAGAGAGAUACCAACAUUACUGAUACUGUAUUUACUAUGCAAACCUUUUGCGAAGCGUCGUAUGUACGCGUGUCUCAUUAAGACUUAUAAAUGACGGUGUUGUAAAUUUGUUGGACCGAUGAUCGAACGCACAACAACAAUGACGUUGAGUCGCGAACGUAACGGACUCACUGACGCAUCUGAUCGGAGAAUUUAGUGACAAUUUUCACAGAUAUUUUUAAAGACUCCGCCCUCGUAAUGUAUCUACGAAAACACUCACAGUGACGGAUUCUUCUUCACCACAUUUUCGAUGUCGGAAAGAAUUUUCUCUGCUGCCGGAAAAAUAUCGUCUUGCAUUGUAAUCUUGCCACUAUUGUUCGUUACAUGUCUCGUAGAAUUAAGUAUAAACCAAUACACGAUUAACCCUUCUGUUUCUCUCUUGCUGCACCUUUCAAUGCAGACACGAUGUAGCGUUUUUCUGCAGAAGUGUUGGGGGGAUAUACUGUGAUACCGUUUGAAGUUUCCUGUAAGUCUCGAACGUUCGAAAUCAGAUGGCGCGAAAUUAUUAACGAUGAAAGAUACUGAUAAAGACCAGAAUUUGUAUUUAACAGUUCCCUGAACGAAAGAAAACGAAUUAAUGUUAGCAAAAAUAA